UACGUAGGGGGGCGAGCGUUGUCCGGAGUUACUGGGCGUAAAGCGCACGCAGGCGGUCUGCUAAGUUUGGAGUGACAGUUGGUGGCUUAACUGCCAAAGUGCUUCGAAAACUGAACAGACUUGAGGGCUUCAGAGGGACACGGAAUUCCGGGUGGGAGUGGUGAAAUGCGUAGAGAUCCGGAGGAACACCAAAGGCGAAGGCAGGUGUCCUGGGGAGUACCUGACGCUCAGGUGCGAAAGCCAGGGGAGGCGAACGGG
rnacentral:rRNA from 1 species